AGCGAACGCUGGCGGCAGGCCUAACACAUGCAAGUCGAACGAAGUCUUCGGACUUAGUGGCGGACGGGUGAGUAACACGUGGGAACGUGCCUUUAGGUUCGGAAUAACUCAGGGCAAUUUGUGCUAAUACCGAAUGUGCCCUUCGGGGGAAAGAUUUAUCGCCUUUAGAGCGGCCCGCGUCUGAUUAGCUAGUUGGUGAGGUAAAGGCUCACCAAGGCGACGAUCAGUAGCUGGUCUGAGAGGAUGAUCAGCCACAUUGGGACUGAGACACGGCCCAAACUCCUACGGGAGGCAGCAGUGGGGAAUCUUGCGCAAUGGGCGAAAGCCUGACGCAGCCAUGCCGCGUGAAUGAUGAAGGUCUUAGGAUUGUAAAAUUCUUUCACCGGGGACGAUAAUGACGGUACCCGGAGAAGAAGCCCCGGCUAACUUCGUGCCAGCAGCCGCAGUAACAC
rnacentral:rRNA from 1 species